rnacentral:rRNA from 1 species
UAGCAUAUCAAUAAGCGCAGGAAAAGAAACCAACAGGGAUUGCCUCAGUAACGGCGAGUGAAGCGGCAACAGCUCAAAUUUGAAAUCUGGCCUCUCGGGGUCCGAGUUGUAAUUUGUAGAGGAUGUUUCGGGUACCGCCUCGGUUUAAAUUUCUUGGAACAGAAUGUCAAAGAGGGUGAGAAUCCCGUCUUGGACCGGCGGUAGGGCCUAUGUGAAACUCCUUCGACGAGUCGAGUUGUUUGGGAAUGCAGCUCAAAAUGGGUGGUAAAUUUCAUCUAAAGCUAAAUAUUGGCCAGAGACCGAUAGCGCACAAGUAGAGUGAUCGAAAGAUGAAAAGCACUUUGAAAAGAGAGUUAAACAGUAUGUGAAAUUGUUGAAAGGGAAGCGCUUGCAACCAGACUUGAGCGCGGCGGUUCCCCCUUGCUUCUGCUUGGGUUACUCCGCCGUGUCCAGGCCAACAUCGGUUCUGGGGGUCGGUCAAAGGCCUUGGGAAUGUAUCUACCUACGGGUAGACUUAUAGACCAGGGUGUCAUGCGACCUCCCGGGACCGAGGAACGCGCUUCGGCUCGGAUGUUGGCGUAAUGGUUGUCAGCGACCCGUCUUGAAACACGGACCAAGGAGUCUAACAUCUAUGCGAGUGUUUGGGUGUCAAACCCGGAACGCGAAAUGAAAGUGAACGGAGGUAGGAAGCUUCGGCUGCACUAUCGACCGAUCCUGAAGUUUACGGAUGGAUUUGAGUAAGAGCAUAGCUGUUGGGACCCGAAAGAUGGUGAACUAUGCCUGAAUAGGGUGAAGCCAGAGGAAACUCUGGUGGAGGCUCGCAGCGGUUCUGACGUGCAAAUCGAUCGUCAAAUUUGGGUAUAGGGGCGAAAGACUAAUCGAACCAUCUGGUAGCUGGGUCUGC